rnacentral:lncRNA from 1 species
UUUGUAUCACUUUGCGACUUAUUGAAUUUCCACCUUAUGGAACUUGCAGGCACUGUUGAACCGCAGAUUGGGGAUGUGGGAGACGGAGUCAUUGAUGGGACGACGUCCGAAGGUGGAUACCUGGUGACGAUGAAAUUCGGUUCUCAAGUGCUGAAAGGAGUGCUUUACCAUCAUGCUAAAAGGCCCCAACAAGCCAUGGGAACACCACCUUCAGGCAUGCCACCAGCAUCGCAGCGCCGAGCUAAGAAGAAAGCCAGAGAGACUACUCAAGUUGAUUCUAAGAAACCCAAAUUCCGCAGGAGUGGCUACAAACCUAAGAAACAGGUCACUUACUUAUAGUUAUCAUCAAAUCAAAUCCUUUAACCAAGUGUUUGCUUAUAAUCUGAUACCAUUUUCUUACAGGUUUAUCAAGACAAAGGAGUUACGGAUGGGGAGAGGUACAGAACUGAGAUCAUGCUGGAGUACGAGUCUGCACAUGAGUCUGAUGGAGCGUCUGCUUCUGCAGCCGCCACCAUGGCUCAGUAGUCUUUUCUUCUUCUGUUAUGUUGUUGUCUUCUUCUUUCUUUAUUACAUUUCUCUUUCUUCUUUCUUUCUCUGGACAAGUUCUCUUUCUUUUAUAAUGAAUAUUUAUAAUGUCUUUGAUCAGUUUGCAGAACAUGUCAUGUUUAUGGUUGUAGGGUUAGUAAAAGAGGUUACUAACUGCGCAUUUAUGUCUUUCUUGCUAUUUUGAUUCAUGAUAUCCCGUUUGUUUGUUUUUUUUGUUUCUGUUUUCAACUUGGAUAUAUCUUAUGUUGUUGCAGAAAUUUGAAUGAACUAUUAUUACUCUUUUCGUUCCAAAUUAAUUCAUGUUUUAGAAAAAAAGUAUUUUAAGAAGAUAUAUUUUUAUUAGAUAAUAAUGUAAAAUUUUAAAUUUUGAAAAGAAAUCGUGUUUACUGUACUUCGAUGGAUAAAAAUUAUAGAAAAUAUAGUUAAACACAAAAUAAUGCAUUUAUAAUUAAGAUCAAACAUAUUUUUAAUAUGUGUGGAAAAAUUUAAAACAUACAUUUUUUGAAAUGGGGUAGGGAACAUCAUUUAUUUAACACAUAUGUUUCUUGAAUCCCAUUUUUGUUGUUAGUUUUCAAGAGUUUCAACAUGUUCUCCCAACAUAUAAAAAGCUUGUUUUGAUAAUCAAUUUGUGAAAUAACCAAAAAUAAAGAGAGAAUGGGUGAUUUUGGUUAGUUAGUGGAUUUUGUUUUUUUUUGUAUAUUGGACCUAAUUUCCCAUUAAUAAUGCAAUGAAUGUUUUUAAGCCAACAUGUCAUAUUUGGCAAGAAUGCGUUCAAGGCAACACAAAUUUUUGUGAGAAACUUCAUUGAUGUUUUCAUAAUUGAAACAACUAACCAACACUACUUACUGUACACAUCUUGAACCUUCAGAAUUCACAAGGAAACAACAUGCAAGCCGCCGGCAAAGGAAACAAAAAGACAGUAACUACAAUAGCAUUUGCAUAACACAUCAUUUACACCUUUUAAGACAUCCAUUAUAUUCUAUGCUUCUGCUUUUGUAUGAGCUCUCUUUUAUUCCUUGGAACGGGUUGUGUAUACUUCUCUUCUUCGCUUAAAGAAACGAAUCAAGAUAGGUGUAGUUUCUGCGCCGAUGAUACUCAAGGAGGCUACCAUAAGUGCGGUCCCAUACUCCAAUGAAGAGCGCCUCUGUGUCAGGGCUGAAUGAUAUUCCAGAUAUCUCUCCAAAGAAGUCGAUCUCCUGCUCUGUUUCAUACCCCUUUGAGACGUCAUAGACGUGCACAAAGUCUGCCGGUUCGGCCAUGGCCAUGUAUUUUCCGUCGGACGUGUAGCGGAUCGACCGGAUUGCUCCAAGGUUACCCUUCAGGACAGCAACAGAGUGAGAUAGGUUGCGGAUGUCCCAUACACGGCAGGUCUUGUCUUGGUUUCCAGUUGAGAAAGUGAUUCCGUCAGGAUGCCACGCUGAGGCAAAGGAGUAGUCAAAAUGUCCUGAUAGUGUUUCCAGCGUCUGUAGAUGAAGUUUUAAAGAUUUGGCAUUAUAAAAGUGGUGACCAACCAUUUGAGACUAACUUACACACUUGAGUUCAGGAUCGAAAAUAUUUGUACCUUUCCUGUGUUGGGGUCUACUAUAAGGCCCUCGGGAUUGCCGCCAACAAUAGCUAGUAAUUUACCAUUAGGACUCAAUGAUGUGUGCUGUUACCAACAAAUGGAGGACAGAAGAACAUCAUUAGCCAAACUGAAACUCCGAAUUAUGCCAAAAUAAAAGGAAAACUAUGAGAGAAGCAAGGACUUUACGUUCACUGGCCAAGGAAAGGAAAAAUGCUUAACAAGCUGGUAUCUCUCCAUGUCAAAAUCUCUAACUCCACAGUCAUUAUUCGAGGCAGUAAAAUGAAGGGCACCACUAUGAACAGAUGACAAAAACUAAGUUAGAAGCAGUGACUCUAACAAUUUAAAUGUAAACCCUUCAGCAGAAACCUGGGUUUGUUGUAGAUCUCAAUAGCAUUGGUAAUAGCAUUAUCAUCAUAAGAAGUACAAGAGCAAAAGCUGACACCAGGUCUAUCAAGAUGCUGAAACCAAUGUGGAAAGUAGAAAGAUGUUUUUCCUACAAAUUUGCAAAACCACAUUUUCAGGCCAAAGUAGUAAAAUCAUAUCCCCCAAAAUCAUGAAAUUACGCUUCCCGCAAAAACCGUGAAAUAUUUUUUUCCCGGAAAACCAUAUAUCAUGUUUUCGCGUCAAAACCGUAAAAUUAUGUUUUUCCACCAAAAUCGUAAAAUCACAUUUUUCGCCAAAACUAUGUUAGAACCGUAAAAUCAUGAUUUUUGCAAAAAAUCGCAAAAUUAAGUUUUUCCGUCAAAACCGUAAAUCACAUUUUCCUCAAAACCACAAAUUACGUUUUCCCACUUUCUUGGUAUAAGAAUUAUUCAUGUCUACCACCACUAAAGAGAUAUUUAAAAAAAAACAUUAUUCAUUAAGUGGCAAAAGACUCUUAUAUCUUUGUUCUAUAUAUAUAUGAUAAAUAAUUAUUUAAAUAAACUAAAAAAUAUUUUUUUUAUAUCCCCUUAUAUUAAAUUUUUGAAGUUAUAAAUAUGGUCAACUUGAUAAUUUUAAUUAUUUAAGGCACUUUACAAACAAAUAAAAUGAUAAGGACUAAAAUAUAAUAACUUAAGAAAAUAAGUCAAUAUAUUUUAGUAUAGACUGACACGUGUCAGUUACGAGGCAUGUUUUAGCUAUUUAUUACUCCCUCCGGUUUUUAAUAUAAGUCGUUUUAAAGAAAUUUUUUUGUUCCAAAUUAUAUGUCGUUUUCGAUUUUCUAUGUAAAAUUUAUUAAUAAUUAAUGAUGUCUGACCAAUGAUAAUAUAUUUUCUAUUUUUCUAUUGGUUGAAUUGUAGUUAGGUAAAUAAUUAAUGAUGUUUUUGUUUAGAAAAUAUAAGAAAUUAAUGAUUUUCUUAAUCUAUGUGCAUAGCUGUAAGACGACUUAUAUUAAAAAACGGAGGGAGUAUAAGUUUAGGUAUGAACUUCAAAAUUUUAUUUAGUUUACGAAUGUUUUAGCACGUUAAUAUACUCUAGAUAUAUAUUUUUUCCGCUUUCAUAGUGUGAAUAUGAAUAAACCGUUUUCCCCAGUAAGAAACAGACAACAAACGAAGUUAGAAGCAGUGACUUUUAACAAUCUAAUGCGGACAGCAAAAGAAAGAGGCAAAAAACCUGGGUUUGUUGUAGAUUUCAAUAGCAUUGGUAAUAGCAUUAUCAUCAUAAGUAGUACGAGAGAAAAAGCUGACCCCAGGUCUAUCAAGAUGCUGAAACCAAAGUGGAAAGUAGAAAUAGAUGAAGCUUUGUCAAUAAUAAUGCAUAUGGCUACUCAAUAAUCAAUAUAUCCAGACUCUUGACAUUGCAUAUAAGAUCUCCUUGAAAUCCACCGGCAAUUAUUCGUCUUUUAUUGCAAGUGUGCUUAUAUGUGUAAACUCUUCCAGCAAACUUCCAUGGUGUUUCUAAGGGGCUGCUAGUUGGAGUUUGAUUUAUAUAGAUUUUGUUGAUUAGAAGAGUAUAUAUACUUGUUGAAUUUGGAAUGAGUUGGAGAAAAUUUUGUAACAAUCUAUAAAAAUAAAUAACUCAAAUAUUUUUUAGAAUCCAAAGGAUAUAUGUAGUACUUUUUAUGAGUUAAAUAAUUAAGAAUACAAUUCUCAAUAACAGUAACUUUAAUAAAUUUACAGAAAUAUUAAAAUCCAAACUUUCGAAUAACAAAUGAUUUUUAGAUUUUAGUGAGAAUAUGAAAAUCUAUAAAUCAAUAACACUACUAUUUAAAUUCUAAAAAUUAAUUCCACUAACACCUUCUAAAUGCACCAAAAAAUCAAAUAAGUAUAUUAUUUUAAUGGGCCGUGUGGUUAGACAAACUCAUUAACUAAUCAAUGGGCUUUAUUAACAUUAUCUCACCAAUCUAGUCAAUGUAUAUAGAUAUGUAUCUAGCCAAAAAAGGGAAGCAAUCUUAAAUUGUAUCUUUUUGGUCUUGUUAAGACUAAAACAGUCAUUAACACAUCAGCAAUACUUAUCUAAUUAAUUAAUUACAUUUAUUUUUUAAAUAUCAUUAAAGCUUUGAAUGUUUACAACCACACCAUAGUUAAUAAUUACGAAAAUCUCUACAUAUAUUUGUGUAUAUCAGAAACGCAAAUGUAGUUGUUACACAAGCUAACAUUCAGACCUUAUGUUUUCUCCUUAGGUGUUAAGGAACUGAUUUAUUAUAAAGAUAAUAAGGUCCUCACAAACUCUCCAUUCACCAACACAGCAAAAAAAAAUGUCAACAGUUUCACCCUCCUCGCAACUGGUUCAGGUGGUUCCAGACAACCACAACAACACUGACGACUCCUCUGCGGAGGUCAACUACGAAGAUCUUGUCCGUAAGUCAUGUCUAUUUGACCUUUUAUUUGACAUUAAGGUUCAUUAGUUUCCUCACAGGUUUAAAACAUUUUACAACACUCAUGUUCUUGUUUUCUCUUUACUUUGUAACAUGCUGAGACACCAUACCUCUUAUGUUUUUCAGAGGAAGCAAUGGAGAGCUUGUCCCUCGAGGAAGGUAUUAAAAAAAGGUUUCUCUAACUCUGUGGCUUUGUAUCACUUUGCGACUUAUUGAAUUUCCACCUUAUGGAACUUGCAGGCACUGUUGAACCGCAGAUUGGGGAUGUGGGAGACGGAGUCAUUGAUGGGACGACGUCCGAAGGUGGAUACCUGGUGACGAUGAAAUUCGGUUCUCAAGUGCUGAAAGGAGUGCUUUACCAUCAUGCUAAAAGGCCCCAACAAGCCAUGGGAACACCACCUUCAGGCAUGCCACCAGCAUCACAGCGCCGAGCUAAGAAGAAAGCCAGAGAGACUACUCAAGUUGAUUCUAAGAAACCCAAAUUCCGCAGGAGUGGCUACAAACCUAAGAAACAG